AGAUGUAAGGACAAUCUGGAUGUGACAUCUGCCCUCCAUUGAUUGCCAGGGUCAAGUUGGCAGAUCUGGCUGGCUAGGUGGGUGUCCCCUUCCCCCUUACCACUCCAUGUGCAUCCCUCCCAAAGCAGCAUGCUUGAUCAAAGAAGACCUUCCUUUUUUGUUCAAGUGUAUAUGAAUAGCUGCACUCCCCUGCUAAAACCUCCAAACCAGUUCUCAAGGUCCAUAAAAACAACCAGGAUUACUACUUCUUUAAAAUUUGAGUAGAAUUCAACAGUGAAGCUAUUCAGUCCUGAGUUUUUCUUUGUU
rnacentral:snRNA from 1 species